rfam:Bacillus subtilis subsp. subtilis str. 168 complete genome.
UGUAUCCUUCGGGGCAGGGUGGAAAUCCCGACCGGCGGUAGUAAAGCACAUUUGCUUUAGAGCCCGUGACCCGUGUGCAUAAGCACGCGGUGGAUUCAGUUUAAGCUGAAGCCGACAGUGAAAGUCUGGAUGGGAGAAGGAUGAU